CGCAAUGGCAACAGCUCAGAACAACUUCGCGAGCUCACGAGAUGCACACGGAAGAGUGACUGGAGGGAAUACACAGCGAUAAAUAGAGUUUCCUGUGAUUUAAAAGGACUGCGAGGACAUUCACCUGACAUCAACGAAGACGGUGGCUUCUUGAGUUUCUGAAGAAGCCACUAUACCAUACGCGUAGCUGGAAAAAAAGCUGGAAAAUGAUCUGGAAAAUCUGUCACAGCAGCCAGUGAAUGUAGCGUAUUGACUGCGAGGACACUCAUCUGACAUCAAUGAAGACGGUGGCUUCUUGAGAUCCUGAAGAACUUACGGACUGCGAGGACAUUCAUCUGACAUCAAAAGACGGUGGAUUCUUGAGUUUCUGAAGGACUUACGG